GGGUGAGUAACACGUGGGUAACCUGCCCAAGAGACUGGGAUAACACCUGGAAACAGAUGCUAAUACCGGAUAACAACACUAGACGCAUGUCUAGAGUUUGAAAGAUGGUUCUGCUAUCACUCUUGGAUGGACCUGCGGUGCAUUAGCUAGUUGGUAAGGUAACGGCUUACCAAGGCAAUGAUGCAUAGCCGAGUUGAGAGACUGAUCGGCCACAUUGGGACUGAGACACGGCCCAAACUCCUACGGGAGGCAGCAGUAGGGAAUCUUCCACAAUGGACGAAAGUCUGAUGGAGCAACGCCGCGUGAGUGAAGAAGGGUUUCGGCUCGUAAAGCUCUGUUGGUAGUGAAGAAAGAUAGAGGUAGUAACUGGCCUUUAUUUGACGGUAAUUACUUAGAAAGUCACGGCUAACUACGUGCCAGCAGCCGCGGUAAUACGUAGGUGGCAAGCGUUGUCCGGAUUUAUUGGGCGUAAAGCGAGUGCAGGCGGUUCAAUAAGUCUGAUGUGAAAGCCUUCGGCUCAACCGGAGAAUUGCAUCAGAAACUGUUGAACUUGAGUGCAGAAGAGGAGAGUGGAACUCCAUGUGUAGCGGUGGAAUGCGUAGAUAUGUGGAAGAACACCAGUGGCGAAGGCGGCUCUCUGGUCUGCAACUGACGCUGAGGCUCGAAAGCAUGGGUAGCGAACAGGAUUAGAUACCCUGGUAGUCCAUGCCGUAAACGAU
rnacentral:rRNA from 1 species